CUCAGAUAGACGGUGCUCUAAAUAAUUAUCAUUGUAUGUCACUCAUUUGUUCUUUCCAGCGAUUGCCUUGUUCAUCCUUAUCCUUGGUGCUGGGCUAGACGCAAGAUGUGCGGAAACUCCUAAGACAGGCCUGCCCUCAAGGCACUCGCAGACCGCAGGGAGACAGGAAUAACAAGCUCUGUGAUAAGGCUGGAGCACUUAAUGGGCGGUGCAAAUGCCUUGAUGCUUUGUCGUCCUGCCAUGGUGACAAUGGAAGAGCCACCAGACUGGAGGAGCUGAGGACACUGAGCUAUCAUAUGGGGACAGCUGCCCUGGAGAGCCGCCCAGACUCACAGCUGACUUUGUGUGAGUGAUAAAUAAAU
rnacentral:lncRNA from 1 species